UACAUAGGUGGCAAGCGUUAUCCGGAAUAACUGGGCGUAAAGGGAGUGUAGGUGGUACUGUAAGUUAAAUGUGAAAGACCUGGGCUUAACCGAGGAACUGCAUUUAAGACUGCAGAACUAGAGUGCGAGAGAGGUAAGCGGAAUUCCUAGUGUAGCGGUAGAAUGCGUAGAGAUUAGGAAGAACACCAGAGGCGAAGGCGGCUUACUGGUUCGUAACUGACACUGAGGCUCGAAAGCGUGGGGAGCAAAC
rnacentral:rRNA from 1 species